rnacentral:rRNA from 2 species
UGGACGCAUCACUGGUGUUCGGGUUGUCAUGCCAAUGGCACUGCCCGGUAGCUAAAUGCGGAAGAGAUAAGUGCUGAAAGCAUCUAAGCACGAAACUUGCCCCGAGAUGAGUUCUCCCUGACUCCUUGAGAGUCCUGAAGGAACGUUGAAGACGACGACGUUGAUAGGCCGGGUGUGUAAGCGCAGCGAUGCGUUGAGCUAACCGGUACUAAUGAACCGUGAGGCUUAACCUUACAACGCCGAAGGUGUUU